rnacentral:miRNA from 1 species
UGUGUGUGUGUCUGUGUGUGUGCAUGUGCAUGUAUGUGUGUGCAUAUAUAUAUAUACACACACACACACACACUUAGCAC